CCACUCAUUAAAAGAGUGCGUAAUAGCUCACUGGUCGAGUGAUUCUGCGCCGAAAAUUUAACGGGGCUAAACUAUACACCGAAGCUUAGGAUACCGCAAGGUAUGGUAGGAGAGCGUUCUGUACGGAGUGAAGUCGUAGCGAAAGCGGCGGUGGACUGUACAGAAGUGAGAAUGCCGGAAUAAGUAGCGAGAAUUAAGUGAGAAUCUUAAUGGCCGAAAGUCUAAGGUUUUUGGAGGAAGGUUCGUC
rnacentral:rRNA from 17 species